GAUGAACGCUGGCGGCGUGCCUAAUACAUGCAAGUCGAGCGAACAGAUAAGGAGCUUGCUCCUUUGACGUUAGCGGCGGACGGGUGAGUAACACGUGGGUAACCUACCUAUAAGACGGGGAUAACUUCGGGAAACCGGAGCUAAUACCGGAUAACAUUUGGAACCGCAUGGUUCUAAAGUGAAAGAUGGUUUUGCUAUCACUUAUAGAUGGACCCGCGCCGUAUUAGCUAGUUGGUAAGGUAACGGCUUACCAAGGCAACGAUACGUAGCCGACCUGAGAGGGUGGUCGGCCACACUGGAACUGAGACAGGGUCCAGACUCCUACGGGAGGCAGCAGUAGGGAAUCUUACGCAAUGGGCGAAAGCCUGACGGAGCAACGCCGCGUGAGUGAUGAAGGGUUUCGGCUCGUAAAACUCUGUUAUUAGGGAAGAACAAACGUGUAAGUAACUGUGCACGUCUUGACGGUACCUAAUCAGAAAGCCACGGCUAACUACGUG
rnacentral:rRNA from 1 species